GACAGGGAGAUCGCUGCAAUGACCGCCACAGGCAAAACAGACUUGACUCAGGGAAGAAUGAUUUAAUUUUUAUGCUGGAUAAAAAUGGAGUAGGAUGAUGAGAAACAAAAACUGGCUGCAGCUUCCUUCAGGCCGUACCCAGGUGGUGUGGGGUCCUCCCAGCUGCAGCGUGGGUGGGUCUCUGCCCCAGGUUCCUGUCCUCAGCAUGGGCUGCAGCAACCUCUGCCCCGGCACCCGGAGCUCCUCUGCCUUCCCCCUUCACCAACCUCGCUGCCUGCAGGGCUGUUGCGCUCACUUUUCUUCUUGCUCCUCUCUCUCAAAGCUGCCACACAGAGUUUUUUACACCUCCUUAAUUACGUUAUCACAGAGGCACCACCAGCUCUGCUGCUGGGCUCAGCCUUGGCCAGCAGUGGGUCCGUUUGGGGACUGGCUGGGUCUGAGUCCGACCCUGCCCUGCCCCGUGCCCGCCUGCCCAGCCUGGUUCCUGGGGCCAAGCAGGAGCCUCCACAGCCUCGGGGGUAAAGCAGGGGCAGCUCUGGCUGAGGGAGGGAUGCCUUUCAGUGCAAAGGCAUCGGCACAGCGAGUUACAGCAGCUGGUACCCAUCCUGCCUCUGCCAGCUUUGUGGUGCUUUGACACAGGUGGGGUGGUGAUCGCAUGGCCAAAGUGGUGUUUUCCAGCCCUUGUGACCCCCCUGCCAUGAAAAGGUGUGGGCAGUGAGUAGAUCCUGCAAACCUGUGCUCCUUCAGUGCAAGGGUCCGGAUGGCCCAGGAAAGGGGUUACAGCCAGAUGUGGGUCUAAGAACCUGGGCUCACUGCAGGCUGUGAUUUUGAAUAAGGGGAAAAUACAGUAAAAACACACAAAUACUCUACCAGCCUUUGUGCUUCCUCUGAUGAGCUGAAUGAGAACAGAAGAAAUGUUCAGGUCCUCCCAUCCAGACACCCUGUACUACAGUAGUCAGCGGUGGGGCCAUAAGCACAUGCCACACCAAGGGAGAAAGCCAGGAGCUGCACAAGGAGGGGAGAAAAGUCAGGAAAGGGAGAUGGAGAGACUAGGUCUUGGGUUCAGUGAUCAGGAGAUGGGGAGAUACCUGGGGUAGAGCUGUCUUUGGCCCUGAGGAAGGCCCCAACCCAGCAUGGGACCUCAGGACUCAGCCCUGCCAUGCCCAGCCCCAGCCCCUGGGUCACCACCACCUGUGCCGUGGGUCAUCCCCAGUGCAUGGGGCUGGGCCGGGAGGCACCAAGCACCUCGUGCAUCCCUGCAGGGUGGCUGUCCCCAGGCCCCUUCCCAGCCCACGUUCAUCCCACCUGGUCCUGGGCAGCCACUGCUGCUUCCUCAAUGCUUCCUCAGGCAUCACCAUCCUCGCAGUCAGAAAUGGUCUUCACACGUCUAAGCUUUGCUGUAUGCAGUGCGCUCCAGCCAUUUAUUCCAAGACCCUGCACACCCUGAACCACACAGGUACCCUCGUGCUGGGAGCUGCGUGGAGACAUUGAAGCACCUGAGAUGGAGCCAGGUUCUGCCUAGCACCAGCAAUGCCAACAUCCCACGAGGAAAGCUGUUCUUGCUGUACUUUUGGAAGCUGGGACUUCCAAAAUGAGAAGCUGAGCAUUUCGGUUUUCGGACCCAUUUUUUGUUGCGACUUGGAUAGUUCACCCAAGUACCGAUGCUGAAAGAAGCCUGCAUGCCUCUUGCAGCAGUGACAGCUGGCGCAUGUCUCCACUGAAUCAGCAGGUCAGUGGGGACUAACAACUCCAUUCAUGAGGAACCAUCUCAGAUGGGUGUCAAAAUCACCAUUGCUGGCUCAUGCCCUGAGUGUUUGGCCUGUUUGCAUGCAUACGUUCAUUGCUCCUGCUUUGCUCUCUGCUCCAGUACGUGCAUCCAGCAGGCAUUUCCUCCAUCAUCAGCACAGGAGUUUGUCCAUACUGGGCUUGAGCUCAGUGCAGCCAGCGACGAUAGUUUGCAUCGGGUUUGGGCUUCUAGAUUGAUUGCAUUUGACCCACUGCUCUUCUUCCCACUUCUCACACACUGCUGCUGACAGCAUCACUGCCUGGAGGAGCGAUCUGUAAGCUGCUUCUGAAUUAGAGAAGAAAGCAGAAACCCCAGCAAAGCAAAUGAGCCAGCCAGGCAGCCCUGCUGCUGAAAGUGUCCUUUAGCCAAAGGGAACCAAUUUUUCACUUAACGGUUACAAAUGUUUCAAGAAUGCCAGGAGAAGUGGAUUAGAAGGUGAGACAUGUUCCUGAAAUGUGUGAAGGACACUGAUAAUUAAUAAGAGCUUUGCCAAGGAGACUGAGAGCUACUAUGGGGAAACUCAAGACAUCCUUAACACUGCAGAUGAUGAGUAUCAAACAGUAACAAUAACAAGGCAGCAAACAGGUCUUCCAAUAUUGCUAUCUAGCACCAGACAAAACUAAGAUAGGCUGCAGGCAACUUCUCAGGCUGCUCUAUUAAAUCAAAGUACAUUUGUUUUUUUAUGUUGGUCCGCUUGUUCCAUAGUCAUCUGGGCUGUCUGGUCCAAAAUGAAAGUCCAGGUCUAUAAAAAAAAAUGCUGAAUUUCCAGAAAUGACCAGACAAUGCUGUAUAUGUGCAAAUGCUUGAUACUACUAUUACUGAAGCUGUGCCAUGUAGGGAAAGAAGAGAGUAAGAGCAGAUCUUCGACUGGCUACACUGUGCAGGCUUGUGUACAGCGGGGUGCUGUGGGAGGGCUGCGAUGCCUGGUGCUAUGGCAGGCACAGAAUAAAUGGUGCUCAGUAGGUUGGGUUUGCUCUGAGGUGACAGUUGCUGCAUACAAAGAGGAGACAACUGGAAAAAAAAUGGCUGUGAGAUACACCAGCAGCACUUCCCACAACGAGUUCCCCUACAGAAAAAUGAAGAGCUUGCACUGUGCAGAAGAGAGAAAAAACAGCUUUGUCCAACACUGAACCAACAGUAACUGCUGGGAUUAAGCAGCGUGUAUUGUGUGGCAGCACACAACAAAACAGCUUAGAAAAGGAGAAAUUUAUGCUAAGCAAUCAGAGAACAAAUGCACAAUUAGGAGGGUGGACAGGGCAGAAGCUGCACUGUGUUCGUGUAUGGAUCAUGCCCCUGGGCUGGGCUCUGCCCCACACUGCUCAGCUCACCACAGGUGUUUUGGAAGUGCUGACUUCUGCACCACUGUCAGAAUUGACAUGAUGCUCAGAGGCAUAAGGUGUUUUUGUCAUCACUUGGCUGGUUUUAAUUGCUUCAGUACAAUUUGGGAAGUCCCACCUUUAUGCCUCUCUUACCUUUAUCGUGGAGUUACAUUAAGAUUUACAUUAAGCAGAGUUGUUGUAGAGUAUAAAUAGCAGAAUAUGGGGCUCUGUUUAGGAGCAUAAUGGUGGUUUUGGGGACUGCACUUCCCUUUGUGCUAAAUGAAGCCAGAAGAGCAGAGCAAGCAGGAUCUUUCCCAUCCUGCAGUGUGCUUGUCUGUGAGAUUUGAACCAAAAUGACAAUGCCUGCAAAAGCUAUGUGAUCAGAGAACACAAAAGAAAGAAAAAGCCAAAUGAAGUCAGAAAAAACAUUUCAUUUUGAUAAUCAUGGAAUAAUCUUUGGGUUUUCAUUCUGACCUCUGUUAAAUCAGGUUAAGUUUGUUGCUGUCUUUUAGCUCAUAUUUAGAAACUGGAAGUUGCUGUGACAUCAGGACCAGGACAUUCUUAUUUGGAAGACAAUUAACAUUAACCAAGCAAUUUUUUCCCCAGUGAGAAAUUCACAUAAGGCAGGAUAAAUUCAUCUGUGCAGGUAAAAGUUUGAUUUGUCAAACUGACAGUUUCUAAGGAGAAGUAAAAAUUACAAAUUAAGCUGCCAGAAAUCAUUGUGUUCUGUUCAUUGCCAGAAAUCAACAAGGUACUGGGGCUGACACGCAGGCUGGCCACAUCUAAAGAUGCAGCCAUCGACACCAGUCUGCCUGGCAGCGCUGCCCAGUGACUUGCAGGCCCCCAAGCAGCUGCACACCCAAAGAAUCUGGUUUUCAGGAUUUUACAACCUCCCCACAGCUUGUAGGAACUGGAGUCCUUCUGAAGUCCAUCCCCUCUGCCCUCCAAAGCCGACGGCUCAGAUUAUCUCACAUUAGCUGAGAGCAUCGGUGACUGUGAGACUUCUUUUGGUUGUCAUGGAUCUUUACUGACAAUUCUAAAGCCCUGAAGAAAGUUGGUGAAUAUUUAAUUCAACCAGAGACAGAAACACAUUAGCAAGCUCCCCUCCACUGUUGCACUUCAGUUCAGUAAGUCAAGAGCAGAGCACAUGAAAAAUCAACAUUUGUGAAUCCAAGACUGAAAAGAUGUGAAGAAAUAAUGUUUUAUGAACAAGCUCCUCAUGCAUUAGACUAAGACCAAAAAGGCCAACCCUUCCCGGACCAAGGACCAUGAUUUGGGUACAGACACACUUUUUGGUAGAGAUACUUUUUUUGUAGUGCUCUUAUGCAAAGGGGGACAACAGCAGAGAGGCUGGGACCCCCCUCAACCCACUUGCAUCAUCCAGGACAAACAGAAUCAACUUUCUAUUUGCAACAAAAGAAUUGAGCUUUGUCUUCCUGACUACACAGCUGUUUCCAAAGGCCAUGCUGGAGAUGUAGUCAUUGGAGAUGAUUUCAACAAUUUCUCUCAAACACCAUUGUUUUGGCAGAGAUGGACAGCAAGACACACUGCAAAAUGGGACCUAAGUGGUGUAGCAGAGAUGCAUGAAGCUGCUUUCCAAGAACACAGUGGUGCGUCCAGCUUCAGGUCAUGUGUGUCUCCAGGACAGGGACAUACAAGCAACAAAUGCAAGUGAAUGGAAGUUUUGUUCAAACCUUCCAUGCAGCCUAUCAGUCUGUGUGGGUCAUGCCAAAACCACGUUAACUGGCCAUUUUCUUUGCUUGCCUUUCCAUACUGAGUUUCAGCCCACCAGAAGCUCUGCAGAAGCUGAAGCCUUUGCUGCCAGAAGAGCCCAGGUACCUUUUGGCAUGAAGGCAUGCUUGCCCCUGGGUCUGGCUCAGUUGUGUGCUCCCCUAUGCUCUUCCCAAAUCUCAGCAUUUGCUGCAUUGAGCAUGAACUGCUUUCUCCCUGGACCCAACAUGAGUCAAACAGGUGACAUCUGCUGAAUGUUUUCACUAGAACUUCAAGCAACUCCCACUUUUAUGUUUUUUAAAUCAUAUUCAUGCUGCUAAGCUGCUGGUGACUCAGAUCAUAGUAAGGCCAUUGAAAGCUUUUCAUAGGAACCAGGUAAUGGUCUUUCUUGUUCCACGCUACAUACGUACAUGCUUAUGUGGUGUAAAAUGUACCACAGCUUCACUCCUGAAGAGCUGCUGGAAGGAGGGCAACCUUCCCAUGGGCACACGACCAGUCUGUAAUACAUUUUUCAUUCCCUCUUUUGAGUUGCCAGAGAAGAGAGAAAGAAGAGAGAAAAAAGGAAGAUGUCUUGACAAUACAAAAUUCAAGCUUGUUGAGUUUAAUUAUAAGUAUUUUGGGCUCUGCAAAUACCUCCACCUUUAGUAACAAAGCAGCCAAUAUUCAGGAGCUUCUGCCAAGUUUCAACUGGCUGAGCAGUGCUGCAUAGCCUGCUCUUGCAUUAGGAGCCACAUCUACUGUCACCUGGAACUUAUCAGCUGAAGGCUCUCAUUGUGACUGCUAAACCCUAUUUCCAGUCAAUAAAAUACAGAGGGAAGCAUUUAGGAGCUAGCUAGGCUCCUCUGAAAGCUUUUUUACUUGGAAAGAACAGAGCUCUCCAAGGAAGCCUUCACAGUCUCUAUGUCCAAGGGAGCAAGAAGAUGACAUGAGGUCUUUGCGGUUGUCUCCACGUAAGACUGGUGUUUGCUUACUUAUAACUCCUCUGACACCUUGAAAGCUUCAGUUUAAGCAAACGUAGACCUCAAUGCAGCCUCAAUAGAGUCAAAACUAGACUUCGGACUCAAGUACUUCAGGAUCACCUACAGGUCUGGGCACUGAGCUGUAGCCCUGUUCUAUCAACAUUUCUUGGCACAAGCUUUCCAUGUUAUCUUUACUGCCAGUAGUAGGAGCCAUAGCCAAUCUGUUUAGCAUUAAGAAUGGCUGUUGGCUGUGAAAUGUGUGAUUUGCAGUCUGCAGAUGAAAUUCAGCCCUGCAGCCUUUUCUUUCAUUUUCUUUCAUUUACUGGGCAGAGCUGCAUCUUACUGGGGAAAGCAUCACAGGAAGAAUCAGGACUGUGCCUGGCUGUGGCUGGGUUGCUAGAAGUAUGAGAUCCCAGUCACAGUGCUGAUGGUGAUGCCAAUGGGGAAGCACGGGAUGGCUAACAAAGCUUCCUGGGCUCCUGAGCACUGCGGGCUCACCGUCCACUGGAAAAUACCAACAAAACAUGUGAGAGUAUCCAGUGGUUAAUGCAGAGCCAUCUCCUGGGGCUGGCUCAGCACAUCCAUGUUGUUCACAGGUUGCAGCACUGGGGCUGGUGCUGUGGUUCCAUCACCAGCAACAAUCACAGCAACCACAGCAUGUAGCAAAUCCCUCCCUUAAUGCUAUCCCAUUUCUUUUUGCUUCAGCCUUGGCUAAGACUUGUUCCCAGGUGGUGGUUUGUGGCAACUUACUAGGACACAGAAUUUGCUGAACCACAGAACAACAGGAAAGGUAUAAGGAAUCCCAAGAAAUCACUAGUCUCAAUAAAUUUGAAAUUGAUUGUAUAAAAAUAAAAAGUGACUGCUUAAAUUAGAGUUUUCUGUUGACUCUAGGAAGAUUAAUUAGUUUUUUCCCACACAUUUAGAUGCUAAUGUUGAAAUCUGUCAUGCUGGUGCCAUCCUGGGUCAGUGGUGGGGUUCAAAGGUCUACAAGAUAUAAAUUCUUUAGGGAAUAUUGAAUACUGACAUAAGAAAUCAUGAAUACUGAAAGAUGAAGUACUUGCUUUCAAGGAAUGUAAGUGCUCGUGAUCUCCGCUGAUGGCAGUGGGAGCUAUGGAGCCUGAACUGCCAAAACUCACACUAGCACAGCUGUAAUUUGCUUUUUUCUCAUAGCGCUUUACAAAAAAGAGACACAGCUAUUAAAGGAUUUGCUUAAAGGGAGACAAAGUAGAAAUGCCAGGCUGGACUCCUCACAUCAAUCCACAAGCUCUGCUUUUUGUUUUGUUAGUUAAAAACUGCUAUCUAGUGCUGCCCUCCAAUGCCAGAAGUAAGGAUGGUAUUGCCCCAAGAGCAAAUUGCUUGCUUUUAUUGCUCCCUAAACUGCCAUAUUAGCUUUGGGAAGAAGCUCUCCUACACGUGGAAUCUAUGGAUGGAUGUGUUUCUAUGUGUGAACAGGUCAAAAGUAGAUGUCAGGCAAAUACCUUACCUUUAGUGCCAGAUGGAAGAGAGACACUGACUGAAUAAUGUGCCAAGUUGUUUUCUGAAGUCUUGUCAACUUGUAGCACACAAAACACUCGCUAUCAAGAAUUUCCACAGCUUAAUACCACGUUUCAGGAGAAAUCCUCUCCUUUUUCUUUUUUCUUGAUCCUUUUUCUGAAACCACCUUUUAUCAUUUCAUUUGUGUCCUUCUCAGAUCGUUAUCAUUCUUCAGACUUCAAACAUACCCUCCCAGUUAUCUGUUUUCCUGCCUGACAUCCAGUUGAGGAGCCACCACCCCUGAAAUUUGUGGUCUUUCUCCUUGCCAUUCUCUGAUUCCACCAUCUCCCUUCUCAGAUAUGUUGGAGCAGAACCCAAAGGCAUCCAAGAUGUGAUUGCACCACUAAUUCACACCAGCGUAAUGACGAGCUCUGUUUCUUUCACUGUUUCUUUCUGAAAAUUUCCUAUCUUUCCACUUGCUGUUUUGACUGCUGCUGAGGGUUGAGCUGACAUUCUCAGAGAUCUAUCUGUUAUAAAUAACUUGAAGAGCUCAUUCCUGAGUGGUAACAGCCAGCUUAGAGCUCCAAAGACACCCGAUAUGGAAAAGGUUGGGUGAAACUCAGAGUUUUCUUAUUUUUAUCACACAAGGUGGGUUAUAGAUUAUCAGCAACAAGGAGAUAAACUUUCUUCUACUGGCCUUGCAGAAGCCACUGCAGAUCCAGCCUCUGUAUGGGACUUGUACUAGUGAAGGCUCCAACUGGCACAGUGCUGAUUUUCAGCCUACCAGUAUGUGCUUUUCUUAACAUUGUUCUCAGGGAUCUAAGAAGACAGUGAAGCCAUCAGGAUGGCAAAUCUGGGACAGGAGGCACCACAUACGAAACAGGACUGCCCCCCCUUCUUCUGGAUGAAUUAGCACCUUUAAGAGAAAGAAACGAGCCAAGCACCUUCCUUAAUGUCUCCAUACUGUCCCACAUCAGCAAACUCUCAGGCUUGUAUCCAAACAACAUCAUGACCAGCUUGAUGAUGGCGAUGAGGUUGUUCGAGCUCUGCUCAGGUAGAAUGAGGCAGCUCAUCAUCCACUGCCUCGAGUGGCCUUCACUGCCAACAAUUCAACUUCUAGCUGGUUUUACCAUGAAAGACCACACAGAAUACAUGAAAAGAAAGACCUAGGGUUGAGAACCACCCUUGUCAAACUGCAGGUAAAUGCUGAAAAGUAUGAAAAGUGUGUUUGCUUGAUUUGCAGAGCUCAUACUUAUUUCUGGUUUGACACCAGAAUGUCAACAGUUGAUGAAAUAAAGCAGAACCAAAUGACAAGAGUUUAAACAGCUGCCAAAUGCUGGGGGGAAUAUUAGUCUGUGUCCCCCUCUAGGAGGCCUUUGUCACCUUGGCCAAUCUGCCAACUCCAUGGGAGGUAAAAACAUGGUGGCAUCUAAUGCUUCCAGGCUGGCUCCCUAAAUUUCUCCAAGUUGUCUGCAAGCUCCUGAGCAAUUGCAUCAAAACGUUUGUGCUGGACUUGGGGUGUUGGGAGCAUCCAAGCAGCCCUGAAGAAGAAAUUUCUGUCAAGGCUGCAAAAAUGGCAGUAAAUUGGUAAAUACCCUUCAUACUCUUACUCUCAUCAGUCUCCCUGGUUCAUUGCUGCUACUUUCAGAAUGCUAAAGGAAGGUCCAUGCAAACUAGAGAAGAACAGACUCUUUUCACUGUUCUACAGAUCCUGGACCAGCAUUAACCACAAUCCUAAACCAGGUAUCGGUGUGCAGGCAUCCACGUUGCCUGCUGUUUUACUCCCAAACUGAACUCCUGUAUGCUACAACCACAGAGUAACGAUGUUGAAAACCAAUGAAAACACAGUCCCUCCCUCACUCCAGAAAACAGCUUGGCCAGUGGCAAGUGUCUUCAGGUAGGCAAAUCAGCCACCAUCACCCAAGACACACCUGUUCUCACUAGCUUGAGGCUUCUAUUGUGGCACAAACCUGGAGGAAAACAUUCUGAGCUGCCAUGAAAAGAACUGCAAUCCAAGUAUAGGUCCAGCCUAUGUUCAUCAGAAACAUAAAUGCUGCUGUGGCAAGCCUAGGAACCCCCUUGCUCCACUACCCAAAAAAACAUGCUCCACCAAUGCUCUGCUCCCUUUCUCAGAAUUACAGAAUCACAAUCUGAUUGAGGUUGGCAGUGAUGUCUAGAGGUCAUCUGGUCCAGCCCCCUGCUAAAGCAGGGCCACCUACUGCAGGUUGCCCAGGUCCAUGGCCAGGAAGAUUUAAGAUUUCUAAGGAGUGAUGUGGUGUCUAGACAUUCAGGUAUUUCCCUUCCUCCAACACUUGCUUUAUGAUUUGAAUUCUGAUUCUUCAGGCUUUUAAAACAGUACAAACAUUGGUGUCCUCCACCAUCUUCUGCCUCACACAGGUGAGUGUUUAUUAAUACUCAACACAGCAUCAAUGGGAUUCACCACUUAAGGAAAAGCUGAUGUAUCUAAAGCAAAUGUGUCUAAAGAAUCUGUAGAGCAGCCAAAUGCAAGUAGGCAUGGCACAAGGAAGCGAUUUUAACUAUGAAUUAACAUAUGCAAUGGAUUAGGAGUCAGGAUUCCCAUCUUCCCUGGUGCAUCAUCAUAGAGGAAUAGAGGCCUCCCCUCACUGCACAGGUGCAUGGUGCACAGUAAGAUCUGCUCUGAGAUCACUGCUGAUUUUGAGAGGACUGGGAGUGGUUCCAACUGCAGCUUCUUGCAAAACUGACUGAUCCCUCAGUUUGCAUACUUUAAUACCUACUGUACCUGAUUUUGCCAAGUGCUUUUACCACAGCAUUUGGAUAUCAACAACUCUCCUGUUGGGACUUCAAAAAGAAUCCUCAAGAAGCCACGCACCUUUCAUGCAGAAGGUAGGUCUGCUCCUGAAAAGCAGGUCUAAGUUUGUAGCUGUUGCAUGCAGGCACACCACAACCCUUCUCACUCUGCUGGGUGCCUGCUGUUGGAACACUGCAGAGUCGUGGGGCUGCAGAGAAAUUUGGGGGUCAAAUCAGCACAGCAAUAGCCAGGCUGCUGCAGAAAUCUCAACCAACAGAGUGUAUCAGCAGUCAUGCAAAGCUGUGCAUCAUUUUGGGCAGCAGUUUUCAUGUGGGGAAGACUUUGAUCACAGCAGAUGCCAGCUGAGAGUAGCUUUUCAUGUAAAUGUGCUAUUUAAGAAAUGUGCUACCUUGACAGGCCAAGAAUCCAAGCCUUGACUUUGAAAGCACAUCUGGAUUUCAUUGAGAUCUUUUCAGUACACUAAGCUACAUUUUACAUUUUAUUUGAAUCCAGGAACUGUUGAGCCAAAGAAACGUUUUGGAGAACUGUGCCCUUUUCCUGCUGAGAGGAGGGAAGAGCAUCUUAAUAGUUAGUGGAAAUUAUUUCUCUUGUUGACAACUAACAGGAAAACCCGACACCACCUGCUCCUUUUUGUCUAAUUAUCCUUAGAAAUUUGGAUCAUUUGCCUCCUUCAUGAAUGGAUAAUAAUGAUCAUUGAUGUGAACCCUUCAGCUUGUCAUGUUGUGUUAUUCUGUAUGAGAAACCAACCUGAACCAUCUCUUCAGUUAAAAGGUCUCAAAGUUUAUGGGGUUCCAAAACAAUUCCAUUUUGAAAAUGUGCUAUUUCAUACUUUUGACUAAAAGUCAAAUUUCCUACUGAAAAUGCAAGGAAGGAACCAGAUUGUUUGUCAAUUUUUAUUUUGGUGGAGUAUUUCUUUGUUCAGCCAGGGGAAACAUCUUGCCACAAGCUUUAGUUACUGCCUCAAAUUCAGUAUGGUAGGUCUGAAAUUCCCUAAAUGUCCCACAUUAGGCUGUGAUCACUCUUGCAUCUGAACUGACAGCUGUUUCAUUGCUGAGUUUGACUGGACUGGAAAUAGGCAAGGACAAAAUAGGAGUGAAUUGUGAAAUUAUUUUUUUGUUGGUGCUAUGAAAGUGGAAAAUAGAUAUUAUAUAUAUAAAAGCCAAACAUAAAAU